AGUGAACGCUGGCGGUAGGCCUAACACAUGCAAGUCGAACGGCAGCACAGUAAGAGCUUGCUCUUACGGGUGGCGAGUGGCGGACGGGUGAGGAAUACAUCGGAAUCUACUUUUUCGUGGGGGAUAACAUAGGGAAACUUACGCUAAUACCGCAUACGACCUACGGGUGAAAGCAGGGGAUCUUCGGACCUUGCGCGAGUGAAUGAGCCGAUGUCGGAUUAGCUAGUUGGCGGGGUAAAGGCCCACCAAGGCGACGAUCCGUAGCUGGUCUGAGAGGAUGAUCAGCCACACUGGAACUGAGACACGGUCCAGACUCCUACGGGAGGCAGCAGUGGGGAAUAUUGGACAAUGGGCGCAAGCCUGAUCCAGCCAUACCGCGUGGGUGAAGAAGGCCUUCGGGUUGUAAAGCCCUUUUGUUGGGAAAGAAAAGCAGCAGGUUAAUACCCCGCUGUUCUGACGGUACCCAAAGAAUAAGCACCGGCUAACUUCGUG
rnacentral:rRNA from 1 species